rnacentral:rRNA from 1 species
CGCGGUCCAAGAUUAGCCAUGCAUGUCUAAGUAUAAGCAAUCUAUACUGUGAAACUGCGAACGGCUCAUUAAAUCAGUUAUAGUUUAUUUGAUGGUACCUUACUACAUGGAUAACUGUGGUAAUUCUAGAGCUAAUACAUGCCCAAAAGCCCCCGCAAGGGGGUGUAUUUGUUAGAUUAAAGACCGUGGCCUCUCGGGGCCUGUGGUGAAUCAUGACAACUGCUCGAAGCUCAUGGCCUCGCGCCGGAGCUGCUUCAUUCAAAUACCUGCCCUAUCAGCUUUCGAUGGUAAGGUAGUGGCUUACCAUGGCGGUUACGGGUAACGGGGAAUUAGGGUUCGAUUCCGGAGAGAGAGCCUGAGAAACGGCUCUCAUAACUAAGGUUAGCAGCAGGCGCGCAAAUUAUCCACUUCCGAUACGGAGAGAUAGUGACAAUAAAUAACAAUAGAGGGCUCUUUUGGGUCUUCUAAUUGGAAUGAGUACAAUCUAAAUCCCUUAACGAGGAUCAAUUGGAGGGCAAGUCUGGUGCCAGCAGCCGCGGUAAUUCCAGCUCCAAUAGCGUAUAUUAAAUUUGUUGACGUUAAAAAGCUCGUAGUCGACUUUCGGCCCUAGCUGGCCGGUCCGCUUUUUUGAGUGUGUACUGGACCCAGCUGGGGCUUUACCUCCUGGUGAACUGGCAUGUUCUUUAUUGGGCGUGUCAGGGAACCCGGAAUUUUACUUUGAAUAAAUCAGAGUGUUCAAAGCAGGCAUGUUUGCCCGAAUGUUACAGCAUGGAAUAAUAGAAUAGGAUGUGUGCCUCUAUUGGUCUUUUAGAGGCACCUUAAUGAGAAAUAGGGGCGGCUCGGGGGCAUUUGUAUUCAAUUGCUAGAGGUGAAAUUCUUGGAUUUAUUGAAGACAAACUACUGCGAAAGCAUUUGCCAAGGACGCUUUCAUUGAUCAAGAACGAAGGUCGGGGGAUCGAAAACGAUUAGAUACCGUUGUAGUCUCGACAGUAAACUAUGCCGAUGGGCGAUUGGCGAGGGUUUUUUUAAUGACCUCGUCAGCAGCCAAAGAGAAAUCUUGAAUUAGGUUCGUGGGGGAGUACGGUCACAAGGCUGAAACUUAAAGGAAUUGACGGAAGGGCACCACCAGGAGUGGAGCCUGCGGCUUAAUUUGACUCAACACGGGGAAACUCACCAGGUCCAGACACAAAAAGGAUUGACAGAUUGAUAGCUCUUUCUUGAUCUUGUGGUUGGUGGUGCAUGGCCGUUCUUAGUUGGUGGAGUGAUUUGUCUGCUUAAUUGCGAUAACGAACGAGACCUUAACCUGCUAAAUAGCCCGGCCGGCUUUGGCUGGCCGCUGGCUUCUUAGAGGGACUUUCAGCUUUUAGCUGAAGGAAGUUUGAGGCAAUAACAGGUCUGUGAUGCCCUUAGAUGUUCUGGGCCGCACGCGCGCUACACUGACAGAGACAGCGAGUUUUUUUCCUUGGCCGGAAGGUCUGGGUAAUCUUGUGAAACUCUGUCGUGAUGGGGAUAGAGCAUUGCAAUUAUUGCUCUUCAACGAGGAAUUCCUUGUAAGCGCAAGUCAUCAGCUUGCGUUGACUACGUCCCUGCCCUUUGUACACACCGCCCGUCGCUACUACCGAUUGAAUGGCUUAGUGAGGUCUUCGGAUUGGCGCUUGGGAGCUGGCAACGGCACCCGAGUGCUGAAAAGUUGCACGAACUUGGUCAUUUAGAGGAAGUAAAAGUCGUAACAAGGUUUUCGUAG